rnacentral:rRNA from 1 species
UGCAAGUCGAACGAUGAAAUCCUCUGCUUGCAGAGGAUGGAUUAGUGGCGAACGGGUGAGUAACACGUGGGUAACCUGCCCAUAAGAGGGGGAUAACAUUCGGAAACGGAUGCUAAUACCGCAUAGGUCUUUGAGACGCCUGUCUCUUAGAUGAAAGGUGGCUUCGGCUGCCGCUUAUGGAUGGACCCGCGGCGUAUUAGCUAGUUGGUGAGGUAAUGGCUCACCAAGGCUGUGAUACGUARCCGACCUGAGAGGGUGAUCGGCCACACUGGGACUGAGACACGGCCCAGACUCCUACGGGAGGCAGCAGUAGGGAAUCUUCCACAAUGGGUGAAAACCUGAUGGAGCAAUACCGCGUGAGUGAAGAAGGUCUUCGGAUCGUAAAGCUCUGUUGUUAGAGAAGAACAAGUCGGGUAGUAACUGCCCCGACCUUGACGGUAUCUAACCAGAAAGUCACGGCUAACUACGUGCCAGCAGCCGCGGUAAUACGUAGGUGACAAGCGUUGUCCGGAUUUAUUGGGCGUAAAGCGAGCGCAGGCGGUCUUUUAAGUCUGAUGUGAAAGCCCACGGCUCAACCGUGGAGGGUCAUUGGAAACUGGAAGACUUGAAUGCAGAAGAGGAAAGUGGAAUUCCAUGUGUAGCGGUGAAAUGCGUAGAUAUAUGGAGGAACACCAGUGGCGAAGGCGACUUUCUGGUCUGUAAUUGACGCUGAGGCUCGAAAGCGUGGGGAGCGAACAGGAUUAGAUACCCUGGUAGUCCACGCCGUAAACGAUGAGUGCUAAGUGUUGGA